GUUUGCUAUUGGUUUUUAGCUCGCCCCGUAUCAAUUAUGGCACGGACUAUGGCGAGCGUUUAACGCGUGCGGUAGCGGGAUAAAGCAUCUUCUUCGACACUUCGGGCGCAGCGGGCGUGCAUAAUCGCCGGGAAGACUCGCGCCCACGUGCGAUUGUCCCGCGAGUCCCACAGGACCGGGACUUGGGCGCUGUCUCGUAAACUAUCGACGCGUAUACCUGUCUUAUUACAUACUAUUUUAGUGUGGUAACGAUAAACUUUGUAAUGAAAAGAAGGGUUAGUUAUGUAAGUCGAGCAGUGGGCCAGUAUUUUCUCUCAGUCGAUAUCCGAAUAGUCACAGAAAACAAGGUAAAAGCAUAAACAUAAACAGUCUAUACACGUCCCACUGCUAGGCACAGACCUCCCCUCAAUCAACCGGAGGGGGUAUGGAGCAUACUCCACCACGCUUCUCCACUGUGGGUUGGCUAGCCGGGACCAACGGAUUAACGUCCCCUCCAAAGCACGGAAUCAUCUUAUUUUUUCAGAUAAUCAGGUGAUUUAAGUCUGUAAAGUCCUUAUCAAGCAAAGGUUAGUCUCACAAAGUAAAACAAGGUAGACCCCGAAAAAGAUGGCGUGAGAGAUUAGUGGCAGUUCCCCGAAGACUGUGAAAUGGGGAGACAUAAAGGGGUGAUUGCCCAGCAGUGGGAUAGUACAGGCUAAAUAAUAUUAGAUAUAUAUUAGGUAAUAUGUGAAGAAUAUAUAAUUUGGUAGACAUUUUGAACGCUCUUAAUGUUUGCAUUUUUAUAUGUAAUAGCAUUAUUAAGUAGUAUACGAGUACUUACAGACUAUUUACGAUACUGUUAGAACAAAAAAAUUGCUUAAGUUGUCACACAUCACACCAAGUUAAUAUAAUUCGUCAAAAUACUUACUUAUUUAAAUCUAUUCUGAAAUGAAUGUGUGAAUAUUGUAAUGACGUAUAGUUAAGCUCAUUAUUGGGGUUUUAGUAAUUGAUACCUAAGGUAUCCAAAAAUAGUUUGAAUAACAAUAUAUCUGAUUUAAUAAUAUAAGUAAAUGGAAUUCAUAAAAAAUUA